ACAUGUAAGCUACUGUUUGAAGAUGAGCUCGCGGACAUUAGCUUGUUGGUGGGGUAAAGGCCUACCAANGGCACGAUGGUUAGCUGGUCUGAGAGGAUGAUCAGUCACACUGGAACUGACACACGGUCCAGACUCCUACGGGAGGCAGCAGUGAGGAAUUUUGCGCAAUGGGGGAAACCCUGACGCAGNCACGCCGCGUGAGUGAUGAAGGCCUUCGGGUCGNUAAGCUCUGUCGAGUGGGAAGAACCUGCAUUGGAGAUAAUAUUCCGAUGCAUUGACGGUACCACUGGAGGAAGCACCGGCUAACUCCGUGCCAGCAGCCGCGGUAAUACGGAGGGUGCAAGCGUUAUUCGGAAUCAUUGGGCGUAAAGGGCACGUAGGCGGUUUGCUGGGUCGGAUGUGAAAUCCCGGGGCUUAACCCCGGAAGUGCAUUCGAAACUGGCAGAACUUGAGUAUGGGAGAGGGAAGCGGAAUUCCUGGUGUAGAGGUGAAAUUCGUAGAUAUCAGGAGGAACACCGGUGGCGAAGGCGGCUUCCUGGACCAAUACUGACGCUGAGGUGCGAAGGCCGUGGGAGCAAACAGGAUUAGAUACCCUGGUAGUCCACGCAAGUAACGGUGAACACUAGGUGUAGCGGGUAUU
rnacentral:rRNA from 1 species